UAUUGGUCAAUGGGCGAGAGCCUGAACCAGCCAAGUCGCGUGAGGGACGACUGCCCUAUGGGUUGUAAACCUCUUUUGUAUGGGGGGAAUAAGCUUUACGAGUAGAGUGAUGACAGUCGCAUAAGAAUAAGCAUCGGCUAACUCCGUGCCAGAAGCCGCGGUAAUACGGCGGAUGCGAGCGUUAUCCGGAUUUAUUGGGUUUAAAGGGUGCGUAGGCGGCAUUAUAAGUUAGUGGUAGAAUAUUGGGGCUUCACCUCACUACGCCAUUAAUACUGUAGAGCUAGAGAACAGACGAGGUAGGCGGAACAAGUUAAGUAGCGGUGAAAUGCAUAGAUAUAACUUAGAACACCGAUAGCGAAGGCAGCUUACCAGACUGAGUCUGACGCUGAUGCACGAGAGCAUGGGUAGCGAACAGG
rnacentral:rRNA from 1 species